AGAGUUUGAUCCUGGCUCAGGACGAACGCUGGCGGCGUGCCUAACACAUGCAAGUCGAACGGAGAUACGAUUUCGGUUGUAUCUUAGUGGCGAACGGGUGAGUAACGCGUGAGCAACCUGACUCUUAGAGGGGGAUAACACUCGGAAACGGGUGCUAAUACCGCAUAAGACCACGACAUGGCAUCAUGACGAGGUCAAAGGAGCAAUCCGCUGAGAGAGGGGCUCGCGUCCCAUUAGAUAGAUGGCGGGGUAACGGCCCACCAUGUCCGCGAUGGGUAGCCGAGCUGAGAGGCUGAUCGGCCACACUGGAACUGAGACACGGUCCAGACUCCUACGGGAGGCAGCAGUGGGGAAUAUUGGGCAAUGGGCGCAAGCCUGACCCAGCAACGCCGCGUGAGGGAAGAAGGCUUUCGGGUUGUAAACCUCUGUCCUUGGUGACGAAAAAAAUGACGGUAGCCAAGGAGGAAGCCCCGGCUAACUACGUGCCAGCAGCCGCGGUAAUACGUAGGGGGCGAGCGUUGUCCGGAAUUACUGGGCGUAAAGGGUGCGUAGGUGGCCUUUUAAGUUGGAUGUGAAAUACCCGGGCUUAACCUGGGGGGUGCAUCUAAUACUGGAAGGCUAGAGUGCAGGAGAGGAAAGCGGAAUUCCUAGUGUAGCGGUGAAAUACGUAGAUAUCUGGAGGAACACCGGUGGCGAAGGCGGCGAUCUGGCCCAACAUUGACACUGAGACCCGAAAGCGUGGGGAUCAAACAGGAUUAGAUACCCUGGUAGUCC
rnacentral:rRNA from 1 species